rnacentral:rRNA from 1 species
CCUACGGGCGGCAGCAGUGGGGAAUAUUGGACAAUGGGGGGAACCCUGAUCCAGCCAUGCCGCGUGUGUGAAGAAGGCCCUCGGGUUGUAAAGCACUUUCAGUGAGGAAGAACGCCUGGUGGUUAAUACCCAUCAGGAAAGACAUCACUCACAGAAGAAGCACCGGCUAACUCCGUGCCAGCAGCCGCGGUAAUACGGAGGGUGCGAGCGUUAAUCGGAAUUACUGGGCGUAAAGCGCGCGUAGGUGGCUUGAUAAGCCGGUUGUGAAAGCCCCGGGCUCAACCUGGGAACGGCAUCCGGAACUGUCAAGCUAGAGUGCAGGAGAGGAAGGUAGAAUUCCCAGUGUAGCGGUGAAAUGCGUAGAGAUCGGGAGGAAUACCAGUGGCGAAGGCGGCCUUCUGGACUGACACUGACACUGAGGUGCGAAAGCGUGGGUAGCAAACAGGAUUAGAUACCCGUGUAGUC